rnacentral:rRNA from 1 species
UACGUAGGGGGCAAGCGUUGUCCGGAAUCAUUGGGCGUAAAGAGCGUGUAGGCGGCUUGGUAAGUCCGCUGUGAAAGUCCAGGGCUCAACCCUGGAAUGCCGGUGGAAACUGUCAAGCUUGAGUCCGGAAGAGGCGAGUGGAAUUCCUGGUGUAGCGGUGAAAUGCGCAGAUAUCGGGAAGAACACCCGUGGCGAAGGCGGCUCUCUGGGACGGUACUGACGCUGAGACGCGAAAGCGUGGGGAGCGAACAGG